AGACGAAAGAAAGAAAACUUGGUGAGGGAGCGGAUAAGACUGGAAAAGCAAAAUGAGAAGCUUGUAAUUAAAAACAGCCAAUUGAAAAGAAAACAAGCGGAGAGCAAUUGAAAAGAAAACAAGCGGAGAGCAUUGCACAAACAGGAAGAUAUGCUCCAGAAAAGGCCGUAGCAUUGCACCAAAUCUCAUUAUUCUCUCCGCCUCUCACUCUCGUCUCCCUCUUCUCCCUUUUUAUCUUCUUCUACGCAAUCCCUGAUUUGGUUUCGAUUUGAAACCCACUUCCUGUGUAGAUCUUCGACUCAACACAUGCAACUCUUCCAUAUCUAUGUUAACUUCUACCAAAACCAUAUACAAACCGAUUUUUCAUUUUGAUUUUGGUAUAGUUAGGGUUUUUGAACUGAUUUUAAUUAGGUCGAUGUAAUUGAAUCUAUAUUCAUUGAGGAGAGUCUUUUGGUACUUGAUUUCUUCAUUCUCAUUUUUGUAUUUCUGGUGAUAUUGAGGUAAAAAAAAAAAAUCCGAGUUUGGAUAGAUCGGGUUUGAUUUUUUGAUUUCCAUCUGAAACUUUAAUUAUUCAUAGUUUGCUGUAGAAAAAUAUGAUAAUGAGGAGUUUUAAGUGAAACUUUGUUUUUGAUUUUAUGAAUCUUUUGAGUAAGUAUUAAAACCCUAAUUAAAAAAAUUUCUUUAAAUUUCAGUUUCAGUUGUAAACCCUAACAUUUUUGUUUUUGAUUUUAAUUUCAGACACCUCCAAUUUCAGAUAGGGCUUCUGUUUAAGAUAUUCAGAUAAGGUUUACGGAUCUUCAGCUCUUGGUGAAAAAGUUACAGGACAAAAUCCAAAGGUAGCUAAACAAGACAGGAAGAGGAAGCCUAGAGGUAGAACUCAUAAGAGGAUGUAAGGUAACAGAAGUUUGGUCACUGCUGGGAACUGAAGGAGCUUGAGAAAGCGCUGGUGAUGAUGGUAACUAGCUCGCUGCUAGUGGUCGAGUUUUCAUGGUCUGAACUAGUGGUGGUGAGUUAGUGUUUGGAAAGGGAGCUGCUGAUGAAAUAUUCUGCGUGCUGAGAUAAUAUCAACAUUGAGAUUUCUAAUGCACAACACAACAAUGCACAGCAGAAAAGUGCUUUUGCAAAAGCCGCAGCAAUACCAAACUAAGCUUUAGUUGAGUGGGUACUUACUGAACUAAGACAACCUAGUGCAUAUGGUUUUGUUUUCUUCGGAUCCAGAGAGGAAGCUAGAGAGGAAGGAAACUGCUAUUACUGCUUUUAAGGGGAAGGGAAAGGCAAAGAAAGCGAUAAGCUAAAGGUAGAACCUAGCUGAGAAGAGAUGCGCACUGCAGUGAGAGACACACUGAAAGAAAUGGAUGUUAAUACUGAAGUUGGAACACAUUGUUCUUGUGCAUUAUAGAGAAAUAAAAAAGGUAACAAAGAAUGCGAGGAAGAAAUAAAAAGAAGUCUUUGUUUGUGUUCCCUUCAUUAUGGUAUACUGAAAUGCAACUAGUUGUUUCGGUAUGUUAUUAGGUGUUCACUUCAUUGCAGUUUACUGAAGUCCAAUUGGUAAUUGUGGUCAUGGUGUAAAAGUUUCGGCAGAAGGAUAUUCAAGGGGUCAUCAAGCAUCUUUCAUUAGGGGAACCAACAGCAGUAAGAUCGCUCGAGUUCGACACCUACCUUAUUUGCUACAAGAUUAGCAAGCAAACCAAAAGAUAGUCUCUGUAAGGUUGUAACAUCAUUUGUUAUUAUGAAAAGCUUAACUUUCAUUCACCGUAAAGAAGUGAACUACAUUUUCAGGCAAUUAUAUGAAAUUUUAAUUUCUUAUUGUGUA